GACGAACGCUGGCGGCGUGCCUAAUACAUGCAAGUCGAACGAGAGCAACCGGUGCUUGCACUGGUCAAUCUAGUGGCGAACGGGUGAGUAACACGUGGGUAACCUGCCCAUCAGAGGGGGAUAACAUCCGGAAACGGAUGCUAAAACCGCAUAGGUCUUCGAACCGCAUGGUUUGAAGAGGAAAAGAGGCGCAAGCUUCUGCUGAUGGAUGGACCCGCGGUGCAUUAGCUAGUUGGUGAGGUAACGGCUCACCAAGGCCGUAAUGCCUAGCCGACCUGAGGGGGGAAUCGGCCAAUUGGGACUGAGACACGGCCCAAACUCCUACGGGAGGCAGCAGUAGGGAAUCUUCCGCAAUGGACGCAAGUCUGACGGAGCAACGCCGCGUGAGUGAAGAAGGUUUUCGGAUCGUAAAACUCUGUUGUUAGAGAAGAACAAGUGCUAGAGUAACUGUUAGCGCCUUGACGGUAUCUAACCAGAAAGCCACGGCUAACUACGUG
rnacentral:rRNA from 1 species